rnacentral:rRNA from 1 species
UGCGCAGGCGGUCUUGUAAGACAGGUGUGAAAUCCCCGGGCUUAACCUGGGAAUUGCAUUUGUGACUGCAAGGCUGGAGUGCGGCAGAGGGGGAUGGAAUUCCGCGUGUAGCAGUGAAAUGCGUAGAUAUGCGGAGGAACACCGAUGGCGAAGGCAAUCCCCUGGGCCUGCACUGACGCUCAUGCACGAAAGCUGGGAGCAAACA